GACGAACGCUGGCGGCGUGCUUAACACAUGCAAGUCGAACGGUGACGAUCAAGCUUGCUUGGUCUGAUCAGUGGCGAACGGGUGAGUAACACGUGAGUAACCUGCCCCAGACUCUGGGAUAACCCCGGGAAACCGGAGCUAAUACCGGAUAUGACAUGCCCCUGCAUGGGGAGUGUGUGGAAAGUUUUUUCGGUCUGGGAUGGACUCGCGGCCUAUCAGCUUGUUGGUGAGGUAAUGGCUCACCAAGGCGACGACGGGUAGCCGGCCUGAGAGGGCGACCGGCCACACUGGGACUGAGACACGGCCCAGACUCCUACUGGAGGCAGCAGUGGGGAAUAUUGCACAAUGGGCGAAAGCCUGAUGCAGCGACGCCGCGUGAGGGAUGACGGCCUUCGGGUUGUAAACCUCUUUCAGCAGGGAAGAAGCGCAAGUGACGGUACCUGCAGAAGAAGCACCGGCUAACUACGUGCCAGCCGCCGCGGUAAUAC
rnacentral:rRNA from 1 species